rnacentral:rRNA from 1 species
CCUACGGGCGGCAGCAGUGAGGAAUAUUGGUCAAUGGGCGCGAGCCUGAACCAGCCAAGUAGCGUGAAGGAUGACUGCCCUACGGGUUGUAAACUUCUUUUAUAAAGGAAUAAAGUGAGGCACGUGUGCCUUAUUGUAUGUAAUUUAUGAAUAAGGAACGGCUAACUCCGUGCCAGCAGCCGCGGUAAUACGGAGGAGCCGAGCGUUAUCCGGAUUUAUUGGGUUUAAAGGGAGCGUAGAUGGGUAGUUAAGUCAGUUGUGAAAGUUUGCGGCUCAACCGUAAGAUUGCAAUUGAUACUGGCCGUCUUGAGUACAGUUGAGGUAGGCGGAAUUCGUGGUGUAGCGGUGAAAUGCUUAGAUAUCACGAAGAACUCCGAUUGCGAAGGCAGCUUACUAAACUGCCACUGACAUUGAUGCUCGAAAGUGUGGGUAUCAAACAGGAUUAGAUACCCGAGUAGUC